GAUGAAGAACGUAGCGAAAUGCGAUAAGUAAUGUGAAUUGCAGAAUUCAGUGAAUCAUCGAAUCUUUGAACGCACCUUGCGCUCUUUGGUAUUCCGAAGAGCAUGCCUGUUUGAGUGUCAUGAAAAUAUCAACCUUGACUUGGGUUUUGUGCUCUAGUCUCGGCUUGGAAUUGGGUGCUUGCCGCUUUUACGAGCGGCUCACCUUAAAUGUAUUAGCUGGAUCUGUCUUUGAGACUUGGUUUGACUUGGCGUAAUAAGUAUUUCGCUAAGGACAUUCUUCGGAGUGGCCUCGUUUCUAGGACGCUUGUCCGCUUUCCAAUACAAGUUCCACCUCGUGGACAUGACUUUUUAUUAUCUGGCCUCAAAUCAGGUAGGACUACCCGCUGAACUUAAGCAUAUCAAUAAGCGGAGGA
rnacentral:misc_RNA from 1 species